GACGAACGCUGGCGGCGUGCUUAACACAUGCAAGUCGAACGGAAAGGCCCUGCUUUUGUGGGGUGCUCGAGUGGCGAACGGGUGAGUAACACGUGAGUAACCUGCCCUUGACUUUGGGAUAACUUCAGGAAACUGGGGCUAAUACCGGAUAGGAGCUCCUGCUGCAUGGUGGGGGUUGGAAAGUUUCGGCGGUUGGGGUUGGACUCGCGGCUUAUCGGCUUGUUGGUGGGGUAGUGGCUUACCAAGGCUUUGACGGGUAGCCGGCCUGAGAGGGUGACCGGCCACAUUGGGACUGAGAUACGGCCCAGACUCCUACGGGAGGCAGCAGUGGGGAAUAUUGCACAAUGGGCGGAAGCCUGAUGCAGCAACGCCGCGUGCGGGAUGACGGCCUUCGGGUUGUAAACCGCUUUCGCCUGUGACGAAGCGUGAGUGACGGUAAUGGGUAAAGAAGCACCGGCUAACUACGUG
rnacentral:rRNA from 1 species